GUGCAAGCGUUAUCGGAAUUACUGGGCGUAAAGCGUGCGCAGGCGGUUAUGCAAGACAGAGGUGAAAUCCCCGGGCUCAACCUGGGAACUGCCUUUGUGACUGCAUGGCUAGAGUACGGUAGAGGGGGAUGGAAUUCCGCGUGUAGCAGUGAAAUGCGUAGAUAUGCGGAGGAACACCGAUGGCGAAGGCAAUCCCCUGGACCUGUACUGACGCUCAUGCACGAAAGCGUGGGGAGCAAACAGGAUUAGAUACCCUGGUAGUCAAGGGCG
rnacentral:rRNA from 1 species